UCUACCGACUCCGGAUGGGCAGGAGAUUUGAGCUCCGCUCUGCCCCACCCCGCCCUAGUUGGGGCAGUUUUUUUUUUUGACUAUUUUGAUCAGCCGCCGAGAUUUGAUUUGGUCCUCACUCUCGUGACGUUAGAAAUUCGCAAGUUUAGGAAUAUUCUGAUCAGAACUGGGACGCGUACUAAAAUACUGGUUGUAAACAUUUUAAUUACAUGGGAUUUUUCGGUCUUCCUCCCAUUUUCGAUUCUCCCCUGCCAAGCCCUAACCUAGAAGCUUCCAUCGGCAAGAUGUCCGUGAACCUGAAACCCACCGGCGGACAACAUCAAGGGCUACAACUUUGUUUGCCGUUAGAUAGCGCAUAUUGUCUCUGCCAUCGUCGUCUCCGUCAACUACUAUCUCUCGCCGGAACAUCGGUACCCGGCACUAUACGACAACGGAUUCAAAACUCUGGUGUCCCUUGACACAAGAAAUUGUGAGGAGUUUCCAGUUUUCAGCUCUCAAAGCAGUGCAGUAAGUCUCAUAGAACUGCAUUAAAUGGACAAGGAAUUCAAUUCUUCUGCAUUAGACAAAGGGCACCAGAUUGAGCAACAGAGAACUGGAUCCAGUUCUGUUUUUUGGGGUUUUGAUAGGUUGCCUUCGACCAGGGUAGCAUUGACUUGGGGAUGCGGAUGUUUGUUUCGGAGAGGAAGGAGUUUAGGGGUAACGCCGACUUCAGAAGUAUUAAAAAGCAAAAAAAAAAGUUUGCAGGGAAGGAGGAGAAGAAGAAAAAGAAAUCCUCAGAAGAAGAUUGGAAGAAGAAUAGAAAGAAGACAAGCAUGCUUAUUGCCGGUUGAUUUCUUGCCGUCGGUGGAUUCUCCGUUCACGGACGUCGGUUGUGCAGUGAAAUCGCCAAUGGAUUGCUUUUUGUGUUAGGACUCUGAGGAGAAAAUGGGAGGAGUAAGAAUGAAUUCUCACAUCCCAAUCCUAAAUAAUUCAAAAGAAUCAAUGAUUUUAAAUUUCUCGUCUUUUUC